rnacentral:rRNA from 1 species
UACGAAAGGUGCAAGCGUUACUCGGAAUCACUGGGCGUAAAGCGUGCGCAGGCGGUUGUGCAAGACAGACGUGAAAUCCCCGGGCUUAACCUGGGAACUGCAUUUGUGACUGCACAGCUGGAGUGCGGCAGAGGGGGAUGGAAUUCCGCGUGUAGCAGUGAAAUGCGUAGAUAUGCGGAGGAACACCGAUGGCGAAGGCAAUCCCCUGGGCCUGCACUGACGCUCAUGCACGAAAGCGUGGGGAGCAAACAGG